rnacentral:rRNA from 1 species
UUCUAUGAGAGUGGCGAACGGGUGAGUAACACGUAGAUGAUCUAUCCUUGGAUCCGGGAUAGCCUGUGGAAACACAGGGUAAUACUGGAUACGACCUUAUCUGUGAAGGGAUAAGGGGAAAGUCGCUUCGGCGACGUCCGGGGCUGAGUCUGCGGCUCAUUAGCUAGUUGGUAGGGUAAUGGCCUACCAAGGCGACGAUGAGUAGCCGGCCUGAGAGGGUGAUCGGCCACACUGGGACUGAGACACGGCCCAGACUCCUACGGGAGGCAGCAGCUAAGAAUCUUCCGCAAUGGGGGCAACCCUGACGGAGCGACGCCGCGUGAAUGAAGAAGGCCGGAAGGUUGUAAAGUUCUUUUCCUGGGGGGGAGAAUAAUGAUUGGAGGAAAUGCCAGUCAGAUGACGUGAACCAGGGAAUAAGCCCCGGCUAAUUACGUGCCAGCAGCCGCGGUAACACGUAAGGGGCAAGCGUUGUUCGGAUUUAUUGGGCGUAAAGGGCGUGUAGGCGGUUAAGUGUGUCUGGUGUGAAAGACUCGGGCUCAACCGGAGGGCCGCGCUGGAAACUGCUUAACUAGAGUGAUGGAGGGGGAGCUGGAAUUCCUGGUGUAGGGGUGAAAUCUGUAGAGAUCAGGAAGAACACCGGAGGCGAAGGCGAGCUCCUGGCCAUAUACUGACGCUGAGGCGCGAAAGCGUGGGGAGCGAACAGGAUUAGAUACCCUGGUAGUCCACGCUGUAAACGAUGUGCACUAGGUGUUGGUCCGUUGAGGAUCAGUGCCGUAGCUAACGCGUUAAGUGCACCGCCUGGGGAGUAUGCUCGCAAGGGUGAAACUCAAAGGAAUUGACGGGGGCCCGCACAAGCGGUGGAGCAUGUGGUUUAAUUCGACGAUACGCGAGAAACCUUACCAGGGCUUGACAUAAGCAUGACGGUUGUAGAGAUACAGCUUCUCUUCGGAGCAUGUUUACAGGUGCUGCAUGGCUGUCGUCAGCUCGUGCUGUGAAGUGUUGGGUUAAGUCCCGCAACGAGCGCAACCCUUGCUGUCUGUUGCCAACAGGUAAUGCUGGGGACUCAGACGGUACUGCCGGUGACAAACCGGAGGAAGGUGGGGACGACGUCAAGUCAUCAUGGCCCUUAUGUCCUGGGCUACACACGUGCUACAAUGGCCGGUACAGAGCGACGCGAAACCGCGAGGUGGAGCAAAUCGCAGAAAACCGGUCCCAGUUCGGAUUGAAGUCUGAAACCCGACUUCAUGAAGGUGGAAUCGCUAGUAAUCGCGCAUCAGCAUGGCGCGGUGAAUAUGUUCCCGGGCCUUGUACACACCGCCCGUCACACCACCCGAGUUGGGGGUACCCGAAGUCGCUCGUCUAACCUGUAAGGGAGGACGGUGCCGAAGGUAUGCCUGGUAAGGGGGGUGAAGUCGUAACAAGGUA